UACGGAGGGUGCAAGCGUUGCUCGGAAUCAUUGGGCGUAAAGCGCACGUAGGCGGCUUCUUAAGUCGGGUGUGAAAGCCCUCGGCUCAACCGAGGAAGUGCAUUCGAAACUGAGGGGCUUGAAUACUGGAGAGGAUGGCGGAAUUCCCGGUGUAGAGGUGAAAUUCGUAGAUAUCGGGAGGAACACCAGCGGCGAAGGCGGCCAUCUGGACCGGUCCUGACGCUCAGGAGCGAAAGCGUGGGUAGCGAUCCGG
rnacentral:rRNA from 1 species